ACCAGCCCCCAGUUUUGACAAAAGUGUUCAAAGCAUUAACAAAAAGUUGCCUUUCACUAUGUGAGUUCACUUAUGUAAGGCUGACAUAGAGGGAGAGAGUUAGUGGCGAAUCCCAAUACCUACUCGUCUAAUCUUCAUCGAUGGUGAGUGGAGAGAGUCUGUGAAGAAGAAACGUAUCCUGUAAUCAAUAUCUCCACUGAGAAGAUCAUAGGUUUGGUAAGACAUUAAGCUAUGCAGAGCUGAAGAAAAUUGAUAAGGAAAUUCUUGUGAAUCUUGUUGGUGACAAGGAAAGAUAUUUAAAAUCUCACAUGGUGCUAAAAUCUUGGGACCUUAGAGAAUUUUCUUUUCUGUACACCCUUCAUUCAAAGUUGAAUAUAUCUAUCUCACCAUGACUUCAGAUUGAGUAAGAUUGAUGGUGUUGGAAUUUUAUCAUCCAUAUCUAGAUCGUGUUAUUCUUGACAUCGUUUGAGAGAUACGGAUUGAGAGAGCUUUAACCUCUAAAAUUCGAACCUCAAACUAGUUUCUUCUUCAAUAUUUGUUUCAAAAAAAAAAAAAAA